rnacentral:rRNA from 1 species
CGGAGGAAAAGAAACCAACAGGGAUUGCCCUAGUAACGGCGAGUGAAGCGGCAACAGCUCAAAUUUGAAAUCUGGCGCAAGCCCGAGUUGUAAUUUGUAGAGGAUGCUUCUAGGUAGCGACCGGUCUAAGUUCCUUGGAACAGGACGUCAUAGAGGGUGAGAAUCCCGUAUGUGACCGGCCCGCACCUUCUACGUAGCUCCUUCGACGAGUCGAGUUGUUUGGGAAUGCAGCUCUAAAUGGGAGGUAAAUUUCUUCUAAAGCUAAAUACCGGCCAGAGACCGAUAGCGCACAAGUAGAGUGAUCGAAAGAUGAAAAGCACUUUGGAAAGAGAGUUAAAAAGCACGUGAAAUUGUUGAAAGGGAAGCGCUUACAACCAGACUUCUGGGCGGUGUUCCGCCGGUCUUUUGACCGGUCUACUCGCCGUCCCGAGGCCAACAUCAUCUGGGACCGCUGGAUAAGACCUCAGGAAUGUAGCUUCCCUCGGGAAGUGUUAUAGCCUGUGGUGAUGCAGCGCGUCUCGGGUGAGGUCCGCGCUUCGGCAAGGAUGUUGGCGUAAUGGUUGUCAGCGGCCCGUCUUGAAACACGGACCAAGGAGUCUAACAUCUAUGCGAGUGUUCGGGUGUCAAACCCCUACGCGUAAUGAAAGUGAACGGAGGUGGGAAGCGUAAGCUGCACCAUCGACCGAUCCUGAUGUCCUCGGAUGGAUUUGAGUAAGAGCAUAGCUGUUGGGACCCGAAAGAUGGUGAACUAUGCCUGAAUAGGGUGAAGCCAGAGGAAACUCUGGUGGAGGCUCGCAGCGGUUCUGACGUGCAAAUCGAUCGUCAAA